GAUGAACGCUGGCGGCGUGCCUAAUACAUGCAAGUCGAGCGAACAGACGAGGAGCUUGCUCCUCUGACGUUAGCGGCGGACGGGUGAGUAACACGUGGAUAACCUACCUAUAAGACUGGGAUAACUUCGGGAAACCGGAGCUAAUACCGGAUAAUAUAUUGAACCGCAUGGUUCAAUAGUGAAAGACGGUUUUGCUGUCACUUAUAGAUGGAUCCGCGCCGCAUUAGCUAGUUGGUAAGGUAACGGCUUACCAAGGCAAGGAUGCGUAGCCGACCUGAGAGGGUGAUCGGCCACACUGGAACUGAGACACGGUCCAGACUCCUACGGGAGGCAGCAGUAGGGAAUCUUCCGCAAUGGGCGAAAGCCUGACGGAGCAACGCCGCGUGAGUGAUGAAGGUCUUCGGAUCGUAAAACUCUGUUAUUAGGGAAGAACAAAUGUGUAAGUAACUAUGCACGUCUUGACGGUACCUAAUCAGAAAGCCACGGCUAACUACGUG
rnacentral:rRNA from 1 species